rnacentral:rRNA from 1 species
GAUGAACGCUGGCGGCGUGCCUAAUACAUGCAAGUCGAGCGAACGGAUGAGAAGCUUGCUUCUCUGAUGUUAGCGGCGGACGGGUGAGUAACACGUGGAUAACCUACCUAUAAGACUGGGAUAACUUCGGGAAACCGGAGCUAAUACCGGAUAAUAUUUUGAACCGCAUGGUUCAAAAGUGAAAGACGGUCUUGCUGUCACUUAUAGAUGGAUCCGCGCUGCAUUAGCUAGUUGGUAAGGUAACGGCUUACCAAGGCAACGAUGCAUAGCCGACCUGAGAGGGUGAUCGGCCACAGUGGAACUGAGACACGGUCCAGACUCCUACGGGAGGCAGCAGUAGGGAAUCUUCCGCAAUGGGCGAAAGCCUGACGGAGCAACGCCGCGUGAGUGAUGAAGGUCUUCGGAUCGUAAAACUCUGUUAUUAGGGAAGAACAUAUGUGUAAGUAACUGUGCACAUCUUGACGGUACCUAAUCAGAAAGCCACGGCUAACUACGU